rnacentral:rRNA from 1 species
UGGAUUUUGGGGUAGUUUAGUGGCGGACGGGUGAGUAACACGUGAGCAACCUACCUUCUAGAGUGGAAUAACGGCUGGAAACGGUCGCUAAUACCGCAUAACGCAUCGGGGGGACAUCCCCUUGGUGCCAAAGAUUUAUCGCUGGGAGAUGGGCUCGCGUCCGAUUAGGUAGUUGGUGGGGUAACGGCCCACCAAGCCGACGAUCGGUAGCCGGACUGAGAGGUUGAACGGCCACAUUGGGACUGAGACACGGCCCAGACUCCUACGGAAGGCAGCAG